rnacentral:tRNA from 1 species
GGCGAGAACGGCCCUUAGUUUACAUUUUUUUCCUUUGUUCCCAGUGCUGAACGGGGAUUGCAAAUCCGUGUACACCGGUUCGAUUCCGGUACUCGCCUCCA